rnacentral:rRNA from 1 species
GGAGCUAAUACCGGAUAAUAUAUGAACCGCAUGGUUCAAUAGUGAAAGACGGUUUUGCUGUCACUUAUAGAUGGAUCCGCGCCGCAUUAGCUAGUUGGUAAGGUAACGGCUUACCAAGGCACGAUGCGUAGCCGACCUGAGAGGGUGAUCGGCCACACUGGAACUGAGCACGGUCCAG